rnacentral:rRNA from 1 species
AGUGAACGCUGGCGGUAGGCCUAACACAUGCAAGUCGAACGGCAGCACAGUAAGAGCUUGCUCUUACGGGUGGCGAGUGGCGGACGGGUGAGUAAUACAUCGGAAUCUACUUUUUCGUGGGUGAUAACGUAGGGAAACUUACGCUAAUACCGCAUACGACCUCCGGGUGAAAGCAGUGGAUCUUCGGACCUUGCGCGAUUGAAUGAGCCGAUGUCGGAUUAGCUAGUUGGCGGGGUAAAGGCCCACCAAGGCGACGAUCCGUAGCUGGUCUGAGAGGAUGAUCAGCCACACUGGAACUGAGACACGGUCCAGACUCCUACGGGAGGCAGCAGUGGGGAAUAUUGGACAAUGGGCGAAAGCCUGAUCCAGCCAUACCGCGUGGGUGAAGAAGGCCUUCGGGUUGUAAAGCCCUUUUGUUGGGAAAGAAAAGCAGCAGGUUAAUACCCCGCUGUUCUGACGGUACCCAAAGAAUAAGCACCGGCUAACUUCGUG